rnacentral:ncRNA from 1 species
AAACAUGGGGAGCUUGCAGAGAGCAGGCUGAGAGUAAGCUGGAUCGUUUUAACCCAUAAACCUGAUUUGGAUAAUGCCAACGUAGGGAUGAUAG